rnacentral:rRNA from 1 species
UACGUAGGGUGCAAGCGUUGUCCGGAAUUAUUGGGCGUAAAGAGCUCGUAGGCGGUCUGUCGCGUCUGCUGUGAAAACUCGGGGCUUAACCCCGGGCCUGCAGUGGGUACGGGCAGACUAGAGUUCGGUAGGGGAGACUGGAAUUCCUGGUGUAGCGGUGAAAUGCGCAGAUAUCAGGAGGAACACCGAUGGCGAAGGCAGGUCUCUGGGCCGAUACUGACGCUGAGGAGCGAAAGCGUGGGGAGCGAACAGG